rnacentral:rRNA from 1 species
CCUACGGGAGGCAGCAGUAAGGAAUAUUGGUCAAUGGACGCAAGUCUGAACCAGCCAUGCCGCGUGCAGGAUGAAGGCCCUCUGGGUUGUAAACUGCUUUUAUAGGGGACGAAAAAGGGACUUUCUAGUUCAACUGACGGUACCCUAGGAAUAAGCACCGGCUAACUCCGUGCCAGCAGCCGCGGUAAUACGGAGGGUGCAAGCGUUAUCCGGAUUUACUGGGUUUAAAGGGUGCGUAGGUGGGUUGGUAAGUCAGCGGUGAAAUCUUCAAGCUUAACUUGGAAACUGCCAUUGAUACUAUCAAUCUUGAAUCAUCUGGAGGUAAGCGGAAUAUGUCAUGUAGCGGUGAAAUGCUUAGAUAUGACAUAGAACACCAAUUGCGAAGGCAGCUUACUACGGAUGUAUUGACACUGAGGCACGAAAGCGUGGGGAUCAAACAGGAUUAGAUACCCUGGUAGUCCACGCCCUAAACGAUGGAUACUCGACAUACGUGAUAUACUAUGUGUGUCUGAGCGAAAGCAUUAAGUAUCCCACCUGGAGUACGAUCGCAGAUUGAACUCAAAGGAUUGACGG